rnacentral:rRNA from 1 species
GAUCCUGGCUCAGAUUGAACGCUGGCGGCAUGCCUUACACAUGCAAGUCGAACGGCAGCACGGACUUUGGUCUGGUGGCGAGUGGCGAACGGGUGAGUAAUACAUCGGAACGUGCCUAGUAGUGGGGGGUAACUACUCGAAAGAGUGGCUAAUACCGCAUGAGAUCUACGGAUGAAAGCAGGGGAUCGCAAGACCUUGUGCUACUAGAGCGGCCGAUGGCAGAUUAGGUAGUUGG